rnacentral:piRNA from 1 species
UAUAUAUAUGUGAUAUCUUGGGACCUCUGGGACCAGUGUUACCUGAUGCUAGACGAACCUCGAUGUCAACUCUACCGUGCAGUCGUGGUGGAAGGCGACACAGCUGGGCCAAAGGUGAAAUAAACAAACAGAGAUUCCACUAAAAGCGUCUGACGUCAAGAAGGAAUGGGAUGAGGGGAGAGAGAGAGAUCUUAAGAGCAAGUGUUACCGUUGGAAUCCAAGCGAAGACUAACAAUUCUAGAUCCUCGAUUUAACACCACGACCUUGCUUCUUUCUAAUUGGCUGACCUAUUUAGGUGAUUCUUUCCCAAUUGGCGGGACCAUGCCACGUGGCCUUUUUCUAUUGGUUGACCUAUUUAGGUGAUUCUUCUGUAAUUGGCCUUGCGGCUUUCUUUGAUGGAAGAUACGUCCGGUCUUGGCCCGGAAGUACGGGGCGUUACUCGACUUUUAUAACUUCUGCGUUAUCAGAUACGCCCGGUACUGUCAGGAAGUAUUGACUUGUAAAUUAUUUAUAGUUGGGCUGGUUUUAAGCCUCUUUUGCUAGGCCUUGCUUCGACUUCUGUCCUAAGCCUGAUUAGUUUUAACCUUAAUUUUCUCCUGUCAGUCUCCAUUCCUUCUAUCUGUACAGUUGCGAUACUUUAUUAGAUUCUUACGCGGUACAGAUUGAUGUUAGUUGAGGUUUUCUAUGUGCAGUACAUAAGAAGUUAUAUACAGUCAUGGGGUGGAACAUGUGGUAGUAGAUAUCUAGACUAUUUACAACAAUUCCAUGGUCUUAAAUCAUCACAGAUGGCCCCGGAUGUGAGAGGGUUCAUAUGGAGGGAUUUAAGAGAGCGGAAUAGGAAGACUGUUAUUAAGGAAGUAAUUUUUAAAAAAUUAAUUGAAAUGAGUUGGUAUAUAACAUGGGGUUGAUUUCUGUGUAUCCAUAAGAGGUAAUAAAGCAUAAACAACUAAUAUUAAACAUACAAGUAAAACAAAAAUAGGAAUAAAAGAAUUAAUAGAGAGCAUAUAAUGACGAUAGGUAAAAAUAAAACGAUUGGAUGGGAAAAUCAUGAUCUCUUCGUGAUGGGCGUUAGAAAGGGUUGAGGGGUUAGUUAUUACUUGGUUGAGGCAAUGUCACUUUGACUCAAGUCCCAAACCAUUUAAUGUGCACGGCGCGGAGAACCUAGGCCAUGUUUCACAUGUAAAUUUAAGGACCGAAUAAAGUUACAGUACCACAAUCGAAAAGUAAGAUAAGGGUGAUUGUUAUGGGUUUUAUUAAUUAGUCGUUAAGACGUACGCAUGCAGGAUAAAGAGGGCGAAGAUCAGUGACCAGAAAUCAAAGUUUUAAUUAGAGUCGUCAGGGGCUUAGCGAGAAAAAGAGUAAAAUAAUAAAAAAAAAAAUGUGCCAGCGUGUGGCAUGAGAGUGCCCUGGAAUAAAAAAAAAUACAAUUUGCACGUAUCCAAGCCAGAAGUAGGGAUAGGUAAAUCUGGGGGACGGUGUGACAAGAUUGUUAAUUACGAAAUCAAAGUAGGUCAAGUCUAGCCUGCGAAGGAGUUAAAAGUUCCUGCGGAAAAGGGUUAGUAUUUAUUAAGAAGUAACCUUUAAAGUGGUUGUUUAAGAGGUUAUUGAAGAUUGCCCUGUUUUUAGAUCAUGAUUUUUAGUUUGAUUAUAAAAGAAUAUAUCAUUGAGAUAUGACAUUGCGAAAUUAAGGCUUUGCAUAUAGCGUUAAAGGAUUUGAAAAUCGAAAAUAGAAUUGCGAAGUUGAAUGCAAAGUAAUCUUUAAAAAAAAAGUAAAAAUAGUGAUGAUAUGAUACAAAGAUUAACACACUACAGCAGUAUAUAAGGGGUAAUAGAAAGUGAAAAUAUUAAAUGAAAAUUAAAAAUGAGCAGUAAUAUACUCGAUAGCAUUGACAUGGUAGCGGAAGAUGAAACAAUGUAAAUAACAUCUAAUUUAUAAAGUGAGAGAAAAUAUAAAAUGAUAAAUGCAAAUUAGUGAUAUAAACAUGAAAUAUAAACUUGAGAUUAUUAGAUAUGAUAUGAAAGAUAAAAUAUAAAGUUGAUUAUAAAAUAGAGUCAUAAAGCAAAAGUAAAUAAGUUUUGGUAAAGAAAAAUAGAAAAAAGACAAUAAUCUAAACUAAUUGGUUGACGUAAAAAAAAAAACAAUUAUAAGAGCUAUAUAAUGAUUAUAUAAAGGAUAUUAAAAUGAAAAAUUUUUAAAAAAUGUUCAUCGAGAAAGAAGAGCAAGUAAGAUUAUAUAUAGAAAUUAUAUAUCGUGAAAGAAUGGAAAGUUGUAGGCCAAACGUAAUGUUCCUGUUUUUUUUUAGGAUGGGUAGAGAGAGCUUUAAAUUGUCCUCGAUUGAUAUCUUUGGUCUUGUUGGCCUAAGUUGUUCUAACUUAUCGAAUUUGUUUUAAGUUUGAUGCGACUCGUGGAUCACAUUGUUUCUAACUGUGAAACUAACUGAGUCCUAAUGUUGUCUUUUUUUUUUUUAAACUUAUGUGGGUGUGUGUGAUUUUUGUAGGUAAAGUGUUGUCUUUGGCACGCACUAAUAUUUAAUUUAAUAGCUGACGAAAGUUCAUUAGAGAACACGGGGGGGAUAGCGGUGGGUCGUAACAAGACGUCGGCUGUUUGUUUGCUCAUCUCCCCUCGAAUUUAUUAUUAGCGAGUUCCGGCGCUGGCGGGCAUAUUUAUUUGGGUCAGAGGCCCUUUAUGGGGCAGCUUGCUUGGUGGUUGUUUUCCACCUUUGUAAACGCGGUUUUCUGAUGGCCAUGAAUUAGUGACAUUGGGUAUGUUAAUUCGGACUACGCUCGGAGAUAUUAUUUCUAUAAUUGUAAACGCAAAAGCGUUUUGAUUUGUCACUUUUGGUGAAAAGCGUUAUGGGAUUGAUAUAGGGAGAUACAGAGGUUGUAAUUAUCCUGUGUUCAAGCAUUUGUUCGAUUUGUGUUUGUAUUUCGAAAAUUCGGAUAUUGUAUCUGUUGAUAUUAAAUCGACUGGUUGUUGUGUUUCGAUAUUUUGCGGACUUAGUAAAAAAUGUUAUUCAGUGAUAUCGGGUUAGAAUUGAGUGAAAUUGCGACUAUCGACGUGAACAAUGUGUGGUUAAAUAAAUGUGUCACAGGCGUGAUGAAGGCGUCUUUGGCCUGAAGUUAAAGAGUUUUGUGGUGUGGCUUUGUGACACGAAGCGAAAAAAAAAAUGUAAAUGAAAAGGUGUCACGUGAAGUCUUUGUUUUGUACAAAAUCUAACCUGUUUUACUAAGAAUAACAAAUUUACUAAAGUCAUGGGUGCUAGUUGUACGAACAUAUCGAUAAUUUUUAUAUUGUUAGUGGAUAUGACACGUUUAAUGUGAUUUUUUUUUGUGUGUGUUUAGUAGGGCGACGUUAUAAAGCUUGUGUGGCUCGAAAUUAGAUUUGGGUGUGAAGUCGCGCACUAAAAAUUUGUUGCCAAUUGGAAAAAGUUAUGUGAUAGGGUGUUGUUUAUUUUGUUGAGAGUGAUUUGUCGAGAUUUAACUAUGCAUGUAAAGGGAAGGAGUGUAGUUAUGUGGGAAUUUAACGAUUGGAAUAGUUUUGGAAGGCUGUGACUUAGGUUAUUUCUGUCCAGAUAUAUGAAAGAAAAGGACAUAGGGGCGUUGAAAAUGGGAUUAGGAACAUUACAAUAAGAUUAAAUAAGAGUGUUGGAGUUCACCACGUGUGAGCAACCCGUUACAGGAGGGGAAAAUUUAGUAAAUGGGACAGUUGUAUUAACCUGUCCAGGGGAAACGUGUUGCUUGCACGAAGUGAAUUGGUACAAGGUAGUUGGUAGAAGUACAUUAUAUUGAUACAGGAGUAGCUGAGAACAGUUUAUAAUUAGUAGAAAUCUUUUUAUGGAAUUAAGGAAUAAAAUGCCAAAAGGAAAAGGUGUAUCGAUGAUAUGGAAUUUUAGAUUCUGCGUUAUGUUACUUAUUUUUACGUUUAAAAAGAUAUAAUCUAUGGUGAAAAUAUUGUUAGCUAUGGCGUUAAUAGUUAAGUUGAAUGGAUGGACAGGUAUUUUUCUUUUACAAACUGGUUUCUAUUAUUUUAAAAGUAUUCUGCAUAAUUAUAGCGAUAGAUGCUUCUGUAUCAAGUAGCAGAGGUAGGUCUACAUUAUUGGACAGUUCAGUUCGAACGAGCAAUUGUUCAACAAAAGUUAUAGAAGGAGGAACCUACUGUUGUGUUGUCUUGUAUGUCGGGACAGUCCUGGUCUGUUGUCAUAGUUGGAGGUUCCUUGGGACAGUUAAGAGUUCAUUGCUUGCGCUGGGCUCGUGGUUUAGAGAAGGUCGGGGGAGCAGGUAACAUACGCUCGCGUGUUGGUAACUCGGAGGGGUGCUUGCAGGAGGUUUGCUGGCUUCCUCAGUCUUGUAGAAUAUUGUAGAUGGGCCCGAUCUGCUUGGGCGUCGUAGUUGGUGAAGAAGCUCUGCGCCUCGUACGAAUCAUCGUAGCGAUUCCACCUCUCGCGAUGUCCGGUCACGGCAGAAAGCUGAUGUCGCGUCCUGGUCAACCUCCCCAGGACAUCUGACACCGGCGGCGGGGGUGUGACGUCUUCCUGGCUGGGGACAAUUUCCUGCGUCCUACCGAGAGUGUUUUCUUUCUUUGGAAAAGUGGUGCUUUCGCCACUUUCGUAGUCGGGAUCGGUCUUCAUGGGCUCCUUUGAAUCCUCCUCUCUUCCCUGUUCCAUCUUUCUGUACAGACAGUGGUCUAUUUGCUUACUUGUACCUUGGCGUCCACUAUCCUGUCGACUCUUCGGGACGGAGGGAGUCUGUGAUAUCUUGGGACCUCUGGGACCAGUGUUACCUGAUGCUAGACGAACCUCGAUGUCAACUCUACCGUGCAGUCGUGGUGGAAGGCGACACAGCUGGGCCAAAGGUGAAAUAAACAAACAGAGAUUCCACUAAAAGCGUCUGACGUCAAGAAGGAAUGGGAUGAGGGGAGAGAGAGAGAUCUUAAGAGCAAGUGUUACCGUUGGAAUCCAAGCGAAGACUAACAAUUCUAGGUCCUCGAUUUAACACCACGACCUUGCUUCUUUCUAAUUGG